rnacentral:rRNA from 1 species
UACGGGGGGGGCAAGCGUUGUUCGGAAUUACUGGGCGUAAAGGGCUCGUAGGCGGCCAACUAAGUCGGAUGUGAAAUCCCCAGGCUCAACCUGGGAACUGCAUCCGAUACUGGAUGGCUUGAAUCCGGGAGAGGGGUGCAGAAUUCCAGGUGUAGCGGUGAAAUGCGUAGAUAUCUGGAGGAAUACCGGUGGCGAAGGCGGCAUCCUGGACCGGCAUUGACGCUGAUGAGCGAAAGCUAGGGGAGCAAACGGG